rnacentral:rRNA from 1 species
UACGGAGGGUGCAAGCGUUAUCCGGAUUCACUGGGUUUAAAGGGUGCGUAGGCGGGCAUUUAAGUCAGUGGUGAAAUACCUGAGCUUAACUUGGGAACUGCCAUUGAUACUAUUUGUCUUGAAUGUCGUGGAGGUUAGCGGAAUAUGUCAUGUAGCGGUGAAAUGCUUAGAUAUGACAUAGAACAUCUAUUGCGAAGGCAGCUAACUACGCGAAUAUUGACGCUGAGGCACGAAAGCGUGGGGAUCAAACAGG